CUCCUUCAUGGGACUGACAGACAUGUGGCGCCGUCCUGACAGUGUGUCUGUGCAGGAUAGUGUUUGGCCUCCCACAAAGCUAUGAAUUGACGGGGAGCUGGACCGCCCAGGAGUCUGUGUGGGAGCGGUGUGUUUCUUGCAGCCGCCGCCGCUGCUGUAUUGGGCUGUGUAUGCUCUCCUUCAUGCUGCCAGUGGUGCAGUCAUCAGCUGCAGUUGACCCCGGGCUUUACUGCUGUUUUGGCUCUCCUUCUCUGGAUGUGCUUGACACCUGCUCGUCGCACCACGGCCUCCUCAGUGCACCCUGCUGCCCUCGGGGCCUGAUGGACCACCCAGGCUCCUUAAGAAGUGUGGCUCUCCUGCAUCGAGCCUCGGAGCUUGGGCAUGCGCCGUGCUCGGGUGCUGGGGGCCCUGGAGUGGCAGCGGUUCCCUGGUGGUGGUCCCUUUUUCACUUUUUUGUUUGCUGUGUCACAGGUGCUGUGUGGUUUUGGGAUCCUCCCCCCUUUCUGUUACCGCUGUCGUGGUAAGCCCCAUCCCUGUCCAGUUUGGUUUUGUUUGGCAGGCCUCAAACCCCAUUUAUUUUGAGUUAGUCUGUUGAUUUUAA